GAUGAACGCUGGCGGCGUGCUUAACACAUGCAAGUCGAACGAGAAUCAACGGAUUGAGGAUUCGUCCAAAUGAAGCUGAGGAAAGUGGCGGACGGGUGAGUAACGCGUGAGGAACCUGCCUCGGAGUGGGGAAUAACAGUUGGAAACAGCUGCUAAUACCGCAUAAUGCAACGGAAUCGCAUGACUCUGUUGCCAAAGAUUUAUCGCUGAAAGAUGGCCUCGCGUCUGAUUAGCUAGUUGGCGGGGUAACGGCCCACCAAGGCGACGAUCAGUAGCCGGACUGAGAGGUUGACCGGCCACAUUGGGACUGAGAUACGGCCCAG
rnacentral:rRNA from 1 species